GGGGCUAUAGCUCAGUGGUAGAGCAUGUGCUUGGCAUGCUUGAGGUCCUAGGUUCAAUCCCCAGUGCCUCUG
rfam:Camelus ferus unplaced genomic scaffold scaffold29410, whole genome shotgun sequence.